CAUGCGAGUCGAGACGCCCCGCCCAGGGGAGCGGCAUACGGGUGAGUAACGCGUGGGAAUCUACCUUUUGCUACGGAAUAUCACAAGGAAACUUGUGCUAAUACCGUAUGUGUCCUUCGGGAGAAAGAUUUAUCGGCAAGAGAUGAGCCCGCGUUGGAUUAGCUACUUGGUGGGGUAAAGGCCUACCAGGGGGACGAUCCAUAGCUGGUCUGAGAGGAUGAUCAGCCACAUUGGGACUGAGACACGGCCCAAACUCCUACCGCAGGCAGCAUGGGGGAAUAUUGGACAAUGGGCGCAAGCCUGAUCCAGCCAUGCCACGUGAGUGAUGAAGGCCCUAAGGUUGUAAAGCUCUUUCACCGGAGAAGAUAAUGACGGUAUCCGGAGAAUAAGCCCCGGAUAACUUCGUGCCAGCAACCGCAAUAAUACGAAGGGGGCUAGCGUUGAUCAAAAUUACUGGGCGUAAAGCGCACGUAGGCGGAUCGAUCAGUCGGGGGUGAAAUCCCAGGGCUCAACCCUGGAACUGCCUUUGAUACUGUCAAUCUGGAGUAUGGAAGAGGUGACUGGAAUUCCGAGUGUAAAGGGGAAAUUCAUAUAUAUUCGAAGGAACACCAAUGGGGAAGGCGGCUCACUGGUCCAUUACUGACGCUGAGGUGCRAAAGCRUGAGGAGCAAACAGGAUUACAUACCCUGGUACUCCACGCCGUAAACGAUGAAUGUUAGCCGGCGGGCAAUAUACUGUUCAGUGGCGGAGCUAACGCAUUAAACAUUCCGCCUGGGGGAGUACGGUCCCAAGAUUAAAACUCAAAGGAAUUGACGGGGGUCCCGCACAAGCGGGGGAGCAUGGGGUCUCAAUUCGAAACAACCCACAAAAACCUUACARGCCCUUGACAUCCUGGGUUACCUCUAGAGAUAGGGGGUCCACUUCGGGGACGCAUAAACAGGUGCUGCAUGGCUGACAUCAGCUCAUGUCGUGAGAUGUUGGGUUGAGUCCCGCAACGAGCGCAAUCCCUCGACCUUUUGUGCCGCAUUUGCAGGGCACUUCUAAAGCGACUGCCGGGAAUAAACCGAUAGGUCAAUGUGGUGCAUGACGUUCAGUCUCAUGUCCAUUACGGACCUGGGCGUUACACCCCAGUGCCUACAAAA
rnacentral:rRNA from 1 species